GGAAAGCAAACAUUAUUUUCGUUUCAAACUAUCUUUUUUCAUUACAAGGCUCUUGAAAUCUGGUUUUUAUGCACUUGGAGUGCUAGUUUGCAUUAGUGUUCAUAUGAUUUCUUAUGUAAGUGAUGUAAAAGGAAAUUGUGAGGACAUACAUACCAUUGCCCUCUCAAAAUUUGAUCGUCACAAAAUUUAUUCUUAGUGAUCUUUCCAGUUUCUUUCUAAAAGCAUUGGUGGAUCAGUGAGUUUGGAAUUAUAAAUAUCAGUGACCUUUUCU
rnacentral:misc_RNA from 1 species